GUGGGGAAUAUUGGACAAUGGGCGCAAGCCUGAUCCAGCAAUGCCGCGUGGGUGAAGAAGGUCUUCGGAUCGUAAAGCCCUUUCGACAGGGACGAUGAUGACGGUACCUGUAGAAGAAGCCCCGGCUAACUUCGUGCCAGCAGCCGCGGUAAUACGAAGGGGGCUAGCGUUACUCGGAAUUACUGGGCGUAAAGGGCGCGUAGGCGGCUCUGUUAGUCAGGCGUGAAAUUCCUGGGCUUAACCUGGGGACUGCGCUUGAUACUGCAGGGCUUGAGGCCGAGAGAGGGUGGUGGAAUUCCCAGUGUAGAGGUGAAAUUCGUAGAUAGUGGGAAGAACACCGGUGGCGAAGGCGACCACCUGGCUCGGUUCUGACGCUGAGGCGCGACAGCGUGGGGAGCAAACAGGAUUAGAAACCCGUGUAGUCC
rnacentral:rRNA from 1 species